CUUUAUUAGAUCAACUUAAAAUGUAAAAUCAAACACUCUUAGAGCCUUUUCCACCUUGAGGGGGGAAGAAGCCAUUGUUCUUCCCCCCUCUCCUCUCUUCUCUUCCUCUCUUCCUCUCUUCCUCCUUUCACCUCUUCCCCCAAUUUCAAAGACAACGGGUUUUCCCUAUUUGUCUUAGUUUUGUUAUGAUUUUCAUCCAACCAUUAGUGGCGGCUGCGGCUCAGCGUCGGAUCUUCACCUGCAUUUCGGCGUCAGAUCUCCACCACCAUCUUUUUUGCAAUUUCUUUAUGUUUGGAAUAAGUUGCAGAGACUCUUUGGGUUCUCUGUGUAGUUUUCACCUCUCCUUUUGUGAGAGUUUUUCAUCUCUCCUUGUGAGAGUUUUUCAUCUCUCCUUGGUGAGAGUUUUAUUUGUAUUGUUAUGGCUUGGUUUUUUCAAGCUUUAUCUUUUUUUUAUUAUUCUAAGUUUGCAAUCUUAGUUGGGAUGCCUAUGCCAGAGUUUCUUCGAUCUUGCCUGAUCGUUGGUGGAGACAUACCUGAUUUUCUUAAUUUUGAUAUUAGACCGCUCCGUUACUGUAAUGGCCCUUUUGUGGCUAGUUUGUAUUGGCCCUUUGUGGCUAAUGACUUUUUU
rnacentral:lncRNA from 1 species